AAUGGUUUUGAGGCUAUGAUGAGAUCAUACUAGUGAGACCUAAAACCCUAAAAUUCUAAUCUUAAAUAUUCCAAGUCAUUGGUACAUUGAGUCGGGGAUCAAUAUUUACCAGAAAGACUGGCACAUCUUAUGUAUGCUCGAUGCAGAGGGUGAUUGAUCUCACAAUCACUUGUGUGGAGACACUAAUAUAAAGAUGUGGGUGCUCAUUAGAAGAAUGAGUUCACUGAAUUGACCUACAAAGAGAAAUCUUAUGAAGUCUUACUUACAUGUCAAAAGAUGAUUCUCUUAGUGGGAGUUGUGCAACUGAUCCUAUGACCUGAGAUCACCAUGGUAUCUUGUGCACAUGAACCCAUGUUUUGGUUUACACUCAUUCAUGACAAUAAGUUGUGUACGAGGUCUUCUGGAUAUGGUGAAUU
rnacentral:lncRNA from 1 species